UAAAAAUGAACAGAAAUGAAGGCUGCCAUUCCUAAGCCAAGGCUGUAAGACUGUGAGAGACCUACCACCAUACCGCGUUGUCCCUUCCAUGGGCUGCAACCUGUUUGUAAGGAACCUGGCAUCAAUCAUGCAGUCUGGAAAACAGCGACCCCUACCUGCUGAAGCUGAAGUCCUCUGACCAUAGAUCGAACACACAGGAUUAAGGAAGCCAAGCAUGUGAGAAUAACAAAGGCAUCAAAGAUCAUCAUGUAGUAGAAGAUAAUUACAACAUGUAGGAUGCUUCAGGGUCAAAUCCUACCUGACCUCUCCCUGCCUGUGCGACUGUGGACACCAGAACUUAUGUCGGAGCCUUAGCUUCUUCAUCUGUAAAAACAGGGAAGCUGCCUACCUCAAAAAUGCUUUAAAAUAUUAAAGUGAGGGAAAUGUAGGUGGAAGUACUUAUGCAGUAAGCACUCAGUAAAUACUGGUUUCACUCUAUGUGAUUUUUUUUUUUUUUUGCUGGGGUGAUAGUACCCUUUUUUUUGGUAAGGAGUGGGCCAGUGAAGGUUACAUGGAGAAAGCAGGAAAAGCCAUUUCAAUGAAUAAUAACUUAGGAAUUACUUGGAACACCAGAUAACUACAAUGAAUUGGUCUACUUGCAGAGAAGUAGGGACUUGGGUAUGGUCCAGUUCUUGCAUUUCAUGUUCCAAAUAUCCCUGGGACCAGUAAUUUAAUGACUAUUUAAUAUUAUUUAAUAACCAUCUUGAAAACUAGUAAAAUGCAUC